rnacentral:sRNA from 1 species
UUUUUCAGAUGUACAUGUACAUGAGUUAUUGUGUUCUUUUAGAUUCAGUACAUGUAUACUUGGAUUUUAUAUUGUAUACACUAUGUUAAAAGAAUUUCUCCUUUAAUUUUUUUGGACAAUCAAAUACUGCAUUAUAAGUGUGUUACUGGUAGGGCAAAACCUUAUCUAAACAUUAUAAAGUCAUCCAUCAUUAAAUUACACGUAGUUUGACAUACAUGUGUAGUUUUUGACAUAAAUGUACAGUCAAACUUCGUUAUCUCAAACUAGAUGGGACUGUUCAAAACCUUCGAGAUAUCCGAGUAUUCGAGAUAUUGUGAGUAAAAUACUUAAAAUAUAAGUAGUUGGGACUUAUAAAUCACUUCGAUACAUCUAUUGUAUUCAAGAUAUCAGUGUUCGAGAUAUCGAAAUUCAACUGUAUAUACACAUAAAUAUUCCAUGUCUUUUUUCUCAAGACAAGGUUAAUGGCCAGUUUUGCUCCCAUGUAAAAGAAAUUAGGUUGUUAACUCUUAGAUUUUUGUAGUAGUAAUACAAGUUUCCACUUUUGUUUGCAAAGGAUGAGAAUCAUCUUCACUCCUCUGUGAAAGGAAUGGGUAUUUGUUGUUUUCACUAUAAGAAGAAUGUGCACAUUUCUUAUAAGAUGUUACAGUUCUCCUUUUGAACCACAUGGUGUAUUUACAUGUUGAUCUUCUUUUCAAUGUUUAAUAUAAAGUUAUGGUGUAUUAACAUGUUGAUCUUCUUUUCGGUGUUUUUUAUAUAGAGUUUAACAAAAAUUAAAUUCAAUUAAA